rnacentral:rRNA from 1 species
AUUGAACGCUGGCGGCAUGCCUUACACAUGCAAGUCGAACGGCAGCACGGGUGCUUGCUCCUGGUGGCGAGUGGCGAACGGGUGAGUAAUACAUCGGAACAUGUCCUGUAGUGGGGGAUAGCCCGGCGAAAGCCGGAUUAAUACCGCAUACGAUCCACGGAUGAAAGCGGGGGACCUUCGGGCCUCGCGCUAUAGGGUUGGCCGAUGGCUGAUUAGCUAGUUGGUGGGGUAAAGGCCUACCAAGGCGACGAUCAGUAGCUGGUCUGAGAGGACGACCAGCCACACUGGGACUGAGACACGGCCCAGACUCCUACGGGAGGCAGCAGUGGGGAAUUUUGGACAAUGGGCGAAAGCCUGAUCCAGCAAUGCCGCGUGUGUGAAGAAGGCCUUCGGGUUGUAAAGCACUUUUGUCCGGAAAGAAAUCCUUGGCUCUAAUACAGUCGGGGGAUGACGGUACCGGAAGAAUAAGCACCGGCUAACUACGUG